UACAGAGGAGCCAAGCGUUGUCCGGAUUGACUGGGCGUAAAGCGCACGCAGGCGGACGCGCGCGUGGGGUGUGAAAUCUGGCCGCUUAACGGCCAGGGGCCAUCCCAUACGGCGCGUCUGGAGCGCUGCAGAGGUCGGUGGAAUUGCCGGUGUAGUGGUGAAAUGCGUAGAUAUCGGGAGGAACACCUGUGGCGAAGGCGGCCACCUGGUUGGAUACUGACGCUGAGACGCGAAAGCGUGGGGAGCAAACAGG
rnacentral:rRNA from 1 species